rnacentral:lncRNA from 1 species
AGGGGAUGGCACGAAUCCGUUCCUGCGGGAUCGGUUCCCAUCAUCCAAUACCUCCCACCAGACUCCACUUCCAUCAUUGGAGGUCACAUUUCAACUAAGAUUUGGAGGGGACCGUAUCCUAACUAUAUUAACUUCCAAUUUUCAUCGAAAGCCCACCUGUCUAAGAAGAGCUCCUAGACAUUCCCUUUCCCCUUCAACUUGGAGGAAUUGGGAAUGACAAAGAGAAAUUAAUCAAAAGAAGAAUUAAUCUCUCCAAUCAGCCUUGGCAUUUUCUUUCUAUCUUUGAUAUGUUGUUUUUUACAGUGUCUUGGUUUUCAGAAUAAGCUGUUUGUAACUACUUCCUCCACUAUAUUGUGAGCCUCUGGAGGGCAAGGUCUGGGCCUUACUCAUCUUUGAGUAAUUUUAAAGCCACUAAAUAGGGCUCUGCACAUAGUGAGAAUUCAACAUAUGCUUAGUUGAAUCUAAUAUUUCAGAAAAAGUCAACAUCUAUUCUUUAAGAUAGCCCACAGCAGGCUGAGUGUGUUAUUCGUAAAUCCAUUGGCCAGCGUCAUUUCCUCCAAAGUGCAGCAUUUUUGAUAGAACCAAAGGCUCAUGACUGACCUUCAGAAAGACAUUUUGUAUUUCACCAUCAAAGAGUGGUAUGGGUUUUAUUAGACUUCCGUAAUCCAGGUCUCGUUUCUCAGGCAACUCUGAAGCGUAUCACACUUUAUCUGAGAGGGUCACAAUUAGUGAAGGAAGGAAUUGGCCUUUGCAAGUUUGUGUUGCUCACGAACUUAUUAAAUUGCUUGAUUUUUUUUUUUCUUCCUAGCUUUGAUAGAUUGACUUUGCCUCUUUUACUGCGUGCAUAGUGCCAUCUUGUGGCCAUAAAGCAUAUAACACUCAUAGUUAUGCCACAGUGCUUCUGUUCCAUCUUAUUUCUGUAGUCCAGAGGAUCUCUUAAGUGUAGAAACACAUGGAUUAUUACUAGCCAAGGCCAUCACUGGCCAAGCCCAUCUAAAAGCCAGAGGCAGCAAGCAGUGCCCGUUGAAACAUCCAUAAAAGGUGAUAUUUGGUUAGCAACGUCCUACUGUAGACAUUUUGAUGUGGUGGUGAUUGGAAUAUGGUCUGCAGAGAUCAACCAGAAUUAGCUCCAUGUGCCACUGGGAGUGGGAACUGAAGUCACGCAGGAAUAAACCAGUCUUCAUGCUUUAGGAUGUUCUGAUGUGCCAUUGUCGUGAAAUCUUCAUUCAUGAGACAUUCCAGUUUACCGGCAGUGUCGACUAGAAUAUGCUACAGCCCCCAAAAUACGUUUUUAGUAUAAGGAUUAUUUUGAGCUGAUUAUUUUGAGAAAUAGCAGACGCAGGAGAAACUCUGAAGACAGAACGCAAACUUCAGCUAGUGUCUUGAAUUUAAGUCCCAAAUCAUCUAAGAAGCGGUCAUCUAGCUCUCCUUCAAUAAAACUGCAACAACCAAUAGAAGCAUUCAGCGAUUCAGUUUCUUCCUGAGAAUAAACCAGAAGGCAAUCUUUGGCUGUGUGAUUUUCAUCUUCCUCAGUGUAAGAGGCCGCUUUCUAAAAUGAAAACAAAACAAAACAAACACAAAACAGACAAAUAAUUAGCAAUAUAAAUUCAUUUUAAAACAAGACUCUAUAUUCCUGUUCAAAAUGCAGUAAUGUGAAUUUAAUUACAAGGAACCAUCAGGGAAACACAAAUUGAGAGAGAUCCUACGACACAACUGGACUGUAUUCUUAAAAAAAAUUAAUAUCAGGGAAAAAAUAGAAAGGCAGAGGGGACUGUUUCAGAUUAAAGGAGACUAAAGUGUCAGGACAACUAAAUGGAAUGCAGGAUCCUGAGAAAAACAAAAUUGCUGUAAAAGAUAGUGUGAUAGUUGGCUAAACUGAAAUAUGGACUAUGUCAAUAUUAAAGUUCUACAUUUGUUAACUGUACUAUAGUAAUGUAAGAGAAUGUGUGUGAAUGUGUGUCAGUGAGAGAGAGACAGAGAAAAUGGAAAAGCAAAUAGCAAAUGUGGCAAAAUGUUUAUUGGGUUCAAAAUUUCUAUUAUUCUUGCAAAUUUUCUGAUAACUUUGAAAUUACUUCCAAAUCAAAAGUUAGUACACACAUACAUAACCAAGAAUGACUGGAGCAGGAUUAGAGUGGAGAGAGGGAAAACUUACCAAAAGAAAACAAACAGGACGCUAGAAUUGAGCUUAGCAGUGAGACAGGAAAGGCCAAGAAAUGGUUUUGCUUGACACCACCCACAUCCCUGUUAAGCUAAUACUUGAAGGUGGGUGAAGGAUGGUAUGAAAGAUGGGAGGUUAAAAAGGAGCAGAAAGUGGGAAAGCACGCUAAUAAUUUGCAAAUUUAGAAGAGGGGGACAGAAGUAACUUGCUUUCCUCAAUGGAAGCCCCUCCCCUUACUCCUCUCUAGGGCCCUUCAGAUGCCUUAUAUUCCAACUCUGUCCAUUCUCAUGGGAGCACAGGGCCUUGUUCUCAAGAAAACCACCCAGUCCUACUUUUUAAAAAAUUAUUCUUACUAUGUCUGUAAGAUCUGUAGUAAAGUUCUUUAUUUUAUUUCUAACAUCCAUAGUUUGUGCUUAAUCUCUUAAUAUCCUAAUUAGUCUGGUAAAAUGUUUAUCAAUUUUAUUGACCUCUUUAAAUAAUAAGCUUGUGGCUUCAAUUUUUUUUCUUAUUACUUUUUGCUAAAUAUUUCAUUGAUUUCUGCUCUAAAAUUCAUCAUUAUCUUAUUUCUGCUUGUUUUGGGUUUAAUUUGCUCUUCUAACUUCUGAGGGUGGAAGCUUAGGUCACUGAUUUGAGAACCAUCUUCUAAUAUAGCCAUUUUUGCUACAAUUUCCCUUCAAGCAUCACUUUAGUAGUACCCCACAAAUUUUCAUGAAGUAUAAUUUAAUUUGCAGUCAUGUGUAUUUAUAAAUAUUUGAGUAUAUUUUAUAUAUCUCUUUGUUACUGAUCUCUGGUUUUAAUUUUUUUUUCAUCAAAGUACAUUGUAUGACUGCAGUUCUUUAAAAGUUAUUUACAUUUAUUUAAUGUUCUAGAAUACAGUCUAUAUGAAAAAGCAUGUGUAUUCUGCUUCUGUUGCAUAGAGUGUUCUGUCAGUAUCAACUAGAUCCAUUUGGUUCACAGUACUAAGUUUUCUAUAUGCUUACUGAUUCUGUCACUUGUUCUUUCAUUUACUGAUAGAUCAGGUUGAACUCUCCAACUAUCAUUAUGAAUUUGUCUGUUUCUCUUUCAGUUGUUUUUGCUUUAAGUUUUAAAAAUUUCUGUUAUUAGGUUCUGACAUAUUUAGGAGUUUCAGGCCUCCUGAUGAACUGACUCAUUUUUCAUUAUGAACUAUCCCUCAUUAUUCCUGGUAAUAUUCCUUGUUCUGAAGUAUACUUUAUCUCUAUGUUAUACUUUUUUUUUUUUUUUUUUUUAGACAGAGUUUCACUCUGUUGCCCAGGCUGGAGUGCAGUGGUAUGAUCACAGCUCACUGCAUCCUUGGCUUUCCAGGCUCAAGUGAUCCCCCUACCUCAGCCUUCUGAGUAGCUGGGACUACAGGUGUGUGCCAGCAUGCCCAGCUAAUUUUUUGUAUUUUUGGAGAGAUAGGGUUUUAACAUAUUGCCCAAGCUGGUCUUGAACUUCUGGGCUCAAGUGAUCUGCCUGCCUUGACCUCCCAGAGUGCUGGGAUCACAGGCAUGAGCCAUUGUGCCUGACCUCUACAUUAUACUUUUAUUUUCAGUUCUGCUUCUAAUUCCUCAAUUCUAGCAUGAGCUUCCUUAUUGCAUCUGAUCAUCUUCCUGGAACUUUUCUCAUCAUUUUUUGGUGGACCCUCAUAAUAGCAAAGCCAAGUACUCUCAUACAGAAGGUAAAAUUUAAAUGGACUUAAUAGAUUGUGUUUUUUAGGUUAUAUAUCCUCUGCCUCUCCUACGGAGCUCAUCCCUACCAAGCCUGCUCCUGCAGAGGGAUGCAACUUUCCGACCCACUGACAUCUGUCUUGGUCAUAUGACUUGCUUUGGUCAAUGAAAUGUGGUGUAAAAAGGUGGAGGCUUUGAGAGCCAUUGCCUGGUUCUGCCUUGUUCUUUUCUUUGGGUCACAAGGACGGCAGCUUCCCAGGUACAAUCUGCUCUCUCAGUGUGCAUCUUGAUAUGAAGACAUCAUGAAGGAAAGCAGAGCUGACUGACUGGCAAAAACAUAACUGUAAGUGAGAAAUAUGCCUGUGUGAGAACUAAGAUCAUGGUUACUGCAGCAUAAUUUAGCUAACACCGACUGAUUCUGUGGGUCCCAUUUCUCUUUCCUUAUUGCCUAUAAGUAUUCCCUGAAAAAAGAAAAAAAAAAAAAACCCAAAGUCUCAUUUGGAUCCAAGGCAAUGAUUACCCUAAUAAUAUCACAUUCACAUACAAAUGUUCCCCCCACCCCCCACCACCAAUACAUAAAACUCAUCCUUAC